AGAAAGGCAUCCCAUAAAUUGUUAUUGGUUCUAUUAACUAUAUUUAAGUCUUGGAGAAAUUUAAACUAGAACUGAGACAGACUCUGAACUGGGGCUUGAGCUGGAUCCCUGCUGCUAAAAAAUUGUGUUAACUUCAAGAUGUGGAUGAAGGUGAAAUUGGCAUUUGAGUACUGCACAAGGCAGAUCUGUGCACAGCACUGGCUGAGAAGGCUGUAUUAAUCUCAGUGCUGUUUGCUGUGGCUGUUGGAAUCCCAGCCUGCAUUCUAUUUCCUGGGAUCUUGCCUGCUGUCUUUAUAGUGGGGAAAAGCUGCUUGUGACUUCUUUCUUUUCCAACUUUCUGAAUGUUCUAAAUUGAUUGUUAAUAUUAUUAUCUCCUUAUUGAGGUCAGUAUUCUCAAUCAAAUACCUAGAACCUGUCAAUUUUGUAUGUAUUUUUGGGGUGGAAAAUAGAUUUUUUUUCUGAUCAAUUAAUUUCUUUUUUGCCUCAAAUACUAAUAUUCCUAAUAAUGAUAGAUAGAAGCUGUGGCUAAAGCAGGCUUGUUGGGAAUUCCAUGGUGCUCUGUUACUGGGGUUGCUUUAUUUUGGUGGGGUUUGUUGAGUGUUGGGUUUUUUUUUUUCCCCAGUGGAACAUCAGAGCACCGUUUACAGUUGCCUUAGUGUCGUGAGGCAGUGCUCUGUCUGUCAGUGCCUGAUCCCUGGAAAUCUGGGGAAAUCCGGGGAAAGCCCUUCUGUCUUGAGCCUUGACUCCAGCUGUAGAUCACCUAGCAGCACUUCAUGGUGGUUGUCUUAGUGUC